rnacentral:lncRNA from 1 species
AUGGGAGCUAAGUCCAAGCCACAAGCGUGGCAGGGUGUUCUCAUGCUCAUUGCAGGGUGUUCUCAUGCUCAUUGCAGGGUGUUCUCAUGCACAUUGCAGGGUGUUCUCAUGCACAUUGCAGGGUGUUCUCAUGCACAUUGCAGAUGGCAGCAGUGCUUCCUUCGGCCCCGGCAGUGCUUGCAGCACGUUGCAGAGCUGCACCACGCUCCUGCCAGCAAACAGCAGGAGACAGAAGGGGCUAUUUUAGGGCAGGUUGAGAUGAGCAAAGCUCCACCUGUUGUUGUGGCUUUCAUUUCUGUAAUGCUCCGCACUCAGCCCCGUGUGGCAGCGCAGCAGGUUGGAUGCUCAGCACUGCAGCUUCUGUUUCCCCCCACACAGUGCAAUGCAGGCAGCCCGAUGGCUUCUAUGCUGCUUUCUCAACCAGCCACGUCCCGCUCUUGCAUCUUUCUGUGCCUAUAUUCCAAUGUAUCGAUAUCCCAACAGAUAAACUCCCAUCCCUCCUUGUUUUCCUCACGUUUCCUUAUGGUACACAUGAAAUAAGAGGAUAUUCGUUCCCAUUUGUGCUGUUUUUGCCCUGGGUGCUGCUGUUCCUGUUUGUUGGGGUGGCUGUUUCUCCUCUCUCUCAUGUCACACUCUGUGGAGCUCGUUCCCGCUUCAUUACGCUCCACUUUUAACAGGUAAGAAGCGAUACUCGCGCUCUGCCGCGGUGCACGCCGGGACUUGUAGUCAUCGCCCGGCCGCCCCGUUCCACGUGACCGCGGCUCAGCCAAUCACAGCGUCCAGGCAUCGCCGUGGCAACCUGAGGUAAACAAGAUGGCGGUGGUGGCGCUGAGAGGGGGGUGAGGCGGCCUGAGGGCUCCACACAGAGCAAAGCCGACAGGCCGCGGGUCUGGCCUUUAUUUCAAGUCCCGUUGUGGUGGGGGGCCCUCAGGAUGCUCUCUGGCCUUCGGGAGCGUUCGUGGCCAGGUGGAUGCGUUAGGCCAUUUCUUCACCGUGCCUUGCCCGAAGGCACACGGUGUAGGGGUGAGAAAGAGCUGCAGAGUUGGAGCCCUUCUGGAAAGGCUUUUCCUUUAUAUCUUAGGAAACUCGCCCAUCCAGCAGCCCCUCCCUGCCCCAAGCUAACAAACUAAUCUUCGUUUUUUAUAUAUCCCCUC